ensembl:lncRNA
ACGGAGGGGAGGGAAGCCGAAGGAAGAGCCAAGAGACGAAAAAGGAAAAUCAGAAGGAAAAGAAGAGGAGGAAAAGACGUCUUGCUUCUAGUGGGACUUCCGAGAUGGCAGCCACCCAGUCCCCCCCCUCCCCAUCUCCAAGCUUCCUACUUGAUUUAGCCUUGGCAUUCCUCUUCCUUCUCUUCAUUCUGCUGCACAAUCUCUGGAUCAGGAUUCAGCACUUUGGACAGCACUGGGCUGCCCAAAAAGAGGACUUGAGGAGCAAGGAGCCAGUGGCAUACGUGGGGAGAAGCCUUAACACAAUUGGCCUCCACAUCCCUUAAGCAGCCUUCCAUGACUGACUGGAGGACAGGUAACAGAAGCCACUCUACCCCAGAGAGAGAGAGAGAAGAGAUCUUCCUGUCAUCCUAUCAGCUGACAUCUGCCCUCCUCCAGGAAGAUUUUCAGGAUUCCUAGAGCACCAACUUUUGAAUUACCCAGUUCCUGUCUGGGAUAAAAGUACUUGAACUUUACACAUUGCCCAUCUCUGUGUAUUUUUACUAGCCUGGGAGCCCCACGGGGGCAGGAACUGAGUCUGUGUU